rnacentral:rRNA from 1 species
UGUAGUCUCAAUGAUGAUGCAUACAUGUCAACUAUGGGUGUUGGGUCCAACAAUUUGCAUUGGUCUCAAACCAAUGACAUCCAUUUGGAAGACCAUGAGUUUGAGGUGGACGAGGAGGGUGAGGGCAUUAUCGACGCGCCGGGAAGAGCGGGCAAUUACAACACCAAUGAUGACAAGUUACUAUGCAAUACUUAUUUGCAAGUGUCGAGGGAUCCAUCCAUUGGAGGUGAUCAAAGUAGAGAUGCGUAUUGGGGGCGAAUGAAAGAAUACUUUGAUGAUCACAACAUGAGUGGAAUUGACCGCUCCGAGAGAUCACUUCGGUCCCGAUGGUCCACAAUCAACUCAGAUUGUCAAAAGUGGGCGGCCGCACAAAAGGCAGUUGACAAGAUGUGGGCAUGA